rnacentral:rRNA from 1 species
CCUACGGGAGGCAGCAGUGGGGGAUAUUGCACAAUGGGGGAAACCCUGAUGCAGCGACGCCGCGUGUGGGAAGACGGUCCUCUGGAUUGAAACCUACUGUCCCCAGUGACGAAGAUGACGGUACCUGUUGAGAAAGCUCCGGCUAACUACGCGCCAGCAGCCGCGGUAAUACGUAGGGAGCGAGCGUUGUCCGGAAUUACUGUGAGUAAAGGGAGCGUAGGCGUGACUGCAAGUUGGGUGUAAAAUCUACCGGCUCAACCGGUAGCCGCACUCAAAACUGAAGUUCUUGAGUGAAGUAGAGGCAGGCGGAAUUACAAGUGGAGCGGUGAAAUGCGUAGAUAUUAGGAGGAACACCAGUGGCGAAGGCGGCCUGCUGGGCUUUUACUGACGCUGAGGCUCGAAAGUGUGGGGAGCAAACAGGAUUAGAUACCCUUGUAGUC